CCAAGCUACUAAGGGCAUACGGUGGAUGCCUAGGCGCCAGGAGCCGAGGAAGGACGUGGUAGGCUGCGAUAAGCUUCGGGGAGCCGCCGAACAGGCUUUGAUCCGGAGAUCUCCGAAUGGGGGAACCCACCGGUGGUAAUGCGCCGGUACCCACGCCUGAACACAUAGGGCGUGCGGAGGCAAGCGGGGGAACUGAAACAUCUAAGUACCCCGAGGAAAAGAAAGCAACCGCGAUUCCCCGAGUAGCGGCGAGCGAAAAGGGAAGAGCCCAAACCCGGCGGAUGCAUAAGCCCGCAGGCGUUGUCCGUCGGGGGUUGUAGGACCCGCCAGGUGCCGCUGCGGAGGCACCGGGGAGUCACAAAGUCCGUCUCUAGUCGAAGGGUUCUGGAAAGUCCCGCCACAGAGGGUGACAGCCCCGUAGGCGAAAGGGGCGGACCUCCCGGCGGUGUUCCUGAGUACGGCGGGACCGGGGAAAUCCCGUCGGAAUCAGCGGGCACCACCCCGCAAGGCUAAAUACUCCCUGGCGACCGAUAGUGGACUAGUACCGUGAGGGAAAGGUGAAAAGCACCCCGGGAGGGGAGUGAAAUAGAACCUGAAACCGUAUGCCUACAAACCGUCAGAGCGGCCUCGUGCCGUGAUGGCGUGCUUUUUGUAGAAUGAGCCGGCGAGUUACCGGUACGCAGCGAGGUUAAGGGUUAACCCGGAGCCGUAGCGAAAGCGAGUCUGAACAGGGCGUUCAGUUGCGUGCCGUAAACCCGAAGCCGAGUGAUCUACCCAUGGGCAGGUUGAAGCGAGGGUAAGACCUCGUGGAGGACCGAACCCACUUCGGUUGAAAACGGAGGGGAUGACCUGUGGGUAGGGGUGAAAGGCCAAUCAAACUCGGAGAUAGCUGGUUCUCCCCGAAAUAGCUUUUGGGCUAGCCUCGGGUGUUCAGCCAUGGUGGUAGAGCACUGAUUGGACUAGGGGCCUUCACCGGUUACCAAACCCAGUCAAACUCCGAAUGCCAUGGCUCCAGAGCCCGGGAGUCAGACCGUGGGGGAUAAGCUCCAUGGUCGAGAGGGAAACAGCCCAGACCGCCAGCUAAGGUCCCCAAAUUCGGGCUAAGUGGGAAAGGAUGUGAGACCGCCCAGACAGCCAGGAUGUUGGCUUAGAAGCAGCCAUCAUUUAAAGAGUGCGUAAUAGCUCACUGGUCAAGUGGUUUCGCGCCGAAAAUGUAGCGGGGCUCAAGCCCGGUACCGAAGCUGCGGCAUCGCGCCCUUCGGGACGCGGUGGGUAGGGGAGCAUUCCCUGGGGAGCGAAGUCGACCCGUAAGGGCUUCCCGCAUGGGAUUAAUCGAUGGACCGCAGGGAAGAGAGAAUGCCGGCAUGAGUAGCGAGAGACGGGUGAGAAACCCGUCCGCCGAAAGCCCAAGGGUUCCUGGGGAAGGUUAAUCCGCCCAGGGUUAGUCGGGACCUAAGGCGAGGCCGAGAGGCGUAGUCGAUGGACAACCGGUUUAUAUUCCGGUACCACCAGCCGGCGCCUGAGCGAUGGGGGGACGCGGAAGGAUAGGCGAACCGCGGCGAUGGUCGACCGCGGGCAAGCGUGUAGGGUGCCGCCGAGUCAAAUGCUUGGCGGCAUAAAAGCCUGAGGCGUGAUGCCGACCCGCUUAUAGGGGAAGUCGCUGAAUCCAUGCCGCCGAGAAAAGCCCCUAGCGAGCCGUCUGGUGCCCGUACCCCAAACCGACACAGGUGGGCGAGUAGAGAAUACUAAGGCGAUCGAGUGAACCCUCGUUAAGGAACUCGGCAAAUUGGCCCCGUAACUUCGGGAGAAGGGGCGCCCCGCUAGCGUGACGGGACUCGCUCCCUGAGCGCGAGGGGGCCGCAGUGACCAGGCCCAAGCGACUGUUUACUAAAAACACAGGUCUCUGCUAAGUCGUAAGACGACGUAUAGGGGCUGACGCCUGCCCGGUGCCGGAAGGUUAAGGGGAAGGGUCAGCGGCCGGCUUCGGCCGGCGCGCGAAGCUCCGAACCUAAGCCCCGGUGAACGGCGGCCGUAAGAGAGUUGCGGCCCCAUCCGGGUAACCGGAUGGGACAAACCCGGCUAUAUGCUGGAAACUCCGAGUAUCUCCGGGUACUAGCCUCCAACCCCCGGAGGCAGUGACAAUCCCAGGAGUGCGGACGAUCAGCAGGAAAGGCCCGGAAGGCGAGGGUCUCAGGAAAGGAAGGUGAACGUUGGGCUAUGAUCCCAAGAAGGUGCCGCCCGAGGUAGGCUGGUACCUGGCAGGCUUCGCUGACGGCGAAGGGAGCUUCAACGUCAGCUUCAGGCCGCGCAGGGAUUACCGCCAGCCAUGGAAAAUAUCUCUUUGCUUCAACAUCUCACAGAGGGACAAGGUGAUACUCACGCAGUACAAGAGAUAUCUCCAGUGCGGCACCAUGAGACGGCGAUCAGACGGGGUAUGGUAUUACGAGGUCAAUAACCUUAAUGCCAUACUGGAGCACGUGAUCCCUUUCUUCGAGACCUACCGCUUCAGAUCGGCGAAGAAGAAGCGGGAUUUCAGCAAGUUCAAGAAGAUAGCCCGCAUCGUCGCCGAGGGUCGUCAUCUGACCGAGGAGGGCGUUCGGGAAAUCCUGAAGGUCCGAAAGGAUAUGAACGACGGCGGCAAGCGGAGAUACCGGGAGGAGGAGAUCCUCGCCAGAUUCGAUUCCGGGAAUCCUCAGAGGCCAUACGCCGGGCCCCUGGAAUGAAACCAGGGUGAAGAUAUGGUCCACCCCUCGUGGCGACGCGGGGAAAAGGUGAACUAUAACGGUCCUAAGGUAGCGAAAUUCCUUGUCGGGUAAGUUCCGACCUGCACGAAUGGCGUAACGACUUGGGCGCUGUCUCAACGAGGGACUCGGCGAAAUUGCACUGCCCGUGAAGAUGCGGGCUACCUGCAGCAGGACGGAAAGACCCCGUGAACCUUUACUGCAGCCUGAUAUUGGGUUCUGGUUCAUCAUGUGCAGGAUAGGUGGGAGGCUGUGAAGCGGGGACGCCAGUUCCCGUGGAGCCGUCCUUGGGAUACCACUCUUGGUGUGCUGGGGCUCUAACCGGCAGCCGUUAUCCGGUUGCGGGACAGUGUCAGGUGGGCAGUUUGACUGGGGCGGUCGCCUCCUAAAAGGUAACGGAGGCGCCCAAAGGUUCCCUCAAGCUGGUCGGCAAUCAGCUGUAGAGUGUAAGGGCAGAAGGGAGCUUGACUGCGAGACCCACAAGUCGAGCAGGUGCGAAAGCAGGGCCUAGUGAUCCGGCGGCAUCAAGUGGGAGAGCCGUCGCUCAACGGAUAAAAGGUACUCCGGGGAUAACAGGCUUAUCUCCCCCAAGAGUCCACAUCGACGGGGAGGUUUGGCACCUCGAUGUCGGCUCAUCGCAUCCUGGGGCUGGAGUAGGUCCCAAGGGUUGGGCUGUUCGCCCAUUAAAGCGGUACGCGAGCUGGGUUUAGAACGUCGUGAGACAGUUCGGUCCCUAUCCGCUGCAGGCGCAGGAGAAUUGAGGGGAGUUGCCCCCAGUACGAGAGGACCGGGGUGAACGGACCUCUGGUGUGCCAGUUGUCCCGCCAGGGGCACGGCUGGUUGGCCACGUCCGGAUCGGAUAACCGCUGAAAGCAUCUAAGCGGGAAGCCGACCCCAAGAUCAGUUCUCCCACCGGGAAACCGGGUAAGACCCCUCGCAGAACACGAGGUUGAUAGGCCGGAUGUGGAAGCGCGGCAACGCGUGGAGCUGACCGGUACUAAUAGGUCGAGGGCUUGGUUCC
rnacentral:rRNA from 1 species